rnacentral:rRNA from 1 species
AUUGAACGCUGGCGGCAGGCCUAACACAUGCAAGUCGAACGAGUGGCGGACGGGUGAGUAAUGUCUGGGAAACUGCCCGAUGGAGGGGGAUAACUACUGGAAACGGUAGCUAAUACCGCAUACCAUCGGAUGUGCCCAGAUGGGAUUAGCUCGUAGGUGGGGUAAAGGCUCACCUAGGCGACGAUCCCUAGCUGGUCUGAGAGGAUGACCAGCAACACUGGAACUGAGACACGGUCCAGACUCCUACGGGAGGCAGCAGUGGGGAAUAUUGCACAAUGGGCGCAAGCCUGAUACAGCCAUGCCGCGUGUAUGAAGAAGGCCUUCGGGUUGUAAAGUACUUUCAGCGAGGAGGCGUUACCCGCAGAAGAAGCACCGGCUAACUCCGUGCCAGCAGCCGCGGUAAUUC